rnacentral:lncRNA from 1 species
UUCGGAGCCUCAAAGGGCGAGCGUGAGAGAGGAGCAAAAAUACAAACAAGUGGCCAAUUUAUAAGAGAACUAAAAUGAUAAAUUCCUAGCUAUAUACUCCUACGCUCCAUCGCUAAAUCACAAAGUACAUAAAAUAAAAAAGACUGGGUAUUGGCUACUGAUAAUGAAGAUCGCCCCAACAUUUCAGGCCGCCAAACAUGACAGUAGAACUCCUGCUCUCGCACUCAUAAAUCACACACGCAAUACUCACUAAUUCUGUAUGGGAUUGGACUUGGUGCCCGGCGUCUGCUUGUCGCUUCCUUCUGCUGCUGCAUGGAAGGCCUGUUGAUGCUCCGACCUUGCGAGCACAUUGCUUUGCAGAAGCUUCCUUGUAACGAGCAUCUCCUCUCUUGAUGCUCUAUCACCGAAAGGCAUUGCUGUCAGAUAGCAAAAAUGCAGAAGUAGCAAGGCGGAGAAGAAGCAAGCACAGAAGCUGGCACCUCGCAUGGCUGCGUUUAGCGAGCACUGAUUACAGUGGAGAAGCGAUAGAUGGGUGCUCGAGUCCGUCCACAUAUAUAUGCCCCAUAUGAUGUGAUGCCGGUGCAAUCAGCGGUGCGAGAUCCGGUCGUGAUAGGGAGAUCUGGGGCCUGAUGAUUGUUAUGAUAGCAUGUGAUUUGCGC